UACAGAGGGGGCAAGCGUUAUUCGGAAUUAUUGGGCGUAAGGGGCGCGUAGGCGGCUUUGCGUGUCUUUCGUGAAAUCCCUCGGCUCAACUGAGGACGUGCGGAAGAAACUGCAGGGCUGGAGUCCGGGAGAGGAGGGUGGAAUUCCCAGUGUAGCGGUGAAAUGCGUAGAUAUUGGGAGGAACACCGGUGGCGAAGGCGGGUCUCUGGGCAUCUCCUGACGCUGAGGCGCGAAAGCGUGGGGAGCAAACGGGG
rnacentral:rRNA from 1 species